ensembl:misc_RNA Y_RNA Y RNA
GGCUGGUCUAAAGAUAGUUAAGUUAUCUCAAUUUAUUUUCACAAUCAGUUACAGAUCAAACUCUUUGUUCUACUCUUCUCCCCCUUCUCACUACUGCACUUGACUAGUCUAAA